rnacentral:rRNA from 1 species
AGGUAGCAUAAUUAUUAGUUUUUUAAUUGAAAGCUUGUAUGAAGGGUUGGACGAGAUAAAAUCUGUCUUUAUUUAAAUUACAAUAGAAUUUAACUUUUAAGUCAAAAGGCUUAAAUGUAUAUAAAAGACGAGAAGACCCUAUAGAUCUUUAUUUAAUUAAUAUUUUGAUAAUUUAAGAUUAUUUUAGUUUAAAGUUUUAAUUAAAUUUUAUUGGGGUAAUAUAGAGAUUAAAUAAAUUCUUUUUAUUUAUUACAUUGAUUUAUGAAUAUAUGAUCCAAUAUUAUUGAUUAUAAGAUUAAGUUACCUUAGGGAUAACAGCGUAAUUUUUUUGGAGAGCUCAUAUCGAUAAAAAAGUUUGCGACCUCGAUGUUGGAUUAAAAAUUAGCUUGGGUGCAGAAGCUCAAGAUUUUGGUCUGUUCGACCAUUAAAUUUUUACAUGAUCUGAGUUCAGACCGGCGUAAGCCAGGUCGGUUUCUAUCUUUAUUUAUCUAAAAUAUUUUAGUACGAAAGGACCAAAUAUUUAAUAUAAUUAUAUUUCUUUUUUGAAUAAUAUU